GGGAAGAUGGCCGAGUGGUUAAGGCGCUACGUUUAGGAAAUAUCAUCAUCAUCUUCUGGAUGGUAAUAAAAAGAGAAUCCGUAGUGGGAAACCGCGUGAGUUCGAACCUCACUCUUCUCA